GAUGAACGCUGGCGGCGUGCCUAAUACAUGCAAGUCGAGCGAACAGAUAAGGAGCUUGCUCCUUUGACGUUAGCGGCGGACGGGUGAGUAACACGUGGGUAACCUACCUAUAAGACUGGAAUAACUCCGGGAAACCGGGGCUAAUGCCGGAUAACAUUUAGAACCGCAUGGUUCUAAAGUGAAAGAUGGGUUUGCUAUCACUUAUAGAUGGACCCGCGCCGUAUUAGCUAGUUGGUAAGGUAACGGCUUACCAAGGCAACGAUACGUAGCCGACCUGAGAGGGUGAUCGGCCACACUGGAACUGGAACACGGUCCAGACUCCUAAGGGAGGCAGCAGUAGGGAAUCUUCCGCAAUGGGCGAAAGCCUGACGGAGCAACGCCGCGUGAGUGAUGAAGGUCUUCGGAUCGUAAAACUCUGUUAUUAGGGAAGAACAAAUGUGUAAGUAGCUGUGCACGUCUUGACGGUACCUAAUCAGAAAGCCACGGCUAACUACGUG
rnacentral:rRNA from 1 species